GCCGUCUUAGCUCAGAGGUAGAGCGCAUGGCUCUUAACCAUGUGGUCGUGGGUUCGAUCCCCACAGACGGCG
rnacentral:tRNA from 1 species